rnacentral:rRNA from 1 species
AUGAUCCGAACCCUAGUCAGCACAGUGGCUGAACUUGUUAUGGUUAUGUCCACCGUCCUGCUUGACUGGCUCAUAUAUGUAUCUUCACCAGCACUCCCUUCACUCAGCACGGCAGGCUGCUUAGGCUCCAUUGGUAGCCUCAUGCUUUCGGAGCUCAACAUUGCAGCAACGUCAGUCAUGGUGGGCCGAUCUGCUGGAUCUUCCUGA